GGUGAGUAACACGUGGGCAACCUGCCUGUAAGACUGGGAUAACUUCGGGAAACCGGAGCUAAUACCGGAUACGUUCUUUCCUCGCAUGAGGAAAGAUGGAAAGACGGUUUCGGCUGUCACUUACAGAUGGGCCCGCGGCGCAUUAGCUAGUUGGUGAGGUAAUGGCUCACCAAGGCCACGAUGCGUAGCCGACCUGAGAGGGUGAUCGGCCACACUGGGACUGAGACACGGCCCAGACUCCUACGGGAGGCAGCAGUAGGGAAUCUUCCGCAAUGGACGAAAGUCUGACGGAGCAACGCCGCGUGAGCGAAGAAGGCCUUCGGGUCGUAAAGCUCUGUUGUUAGGGAAGAACAAGUGCCAGAGUAACUGCUGGCACCUUGACGGUACCUAACCAGAAAGCCACGGCUAACUACGUGCCAGCAGCCGCGGUAAUACGUAGGUGGCAAGCGUUGUCCGGAAUUAUUGGGCGUAAAGCGCGCGCAGGUGGUUCCUUAAGUCUGAUGUGAAAGCCCACGGCUCAACCGUGGAGGGUCAUUGGAAACUGGGGGACUUGAGUGCAGAAGAGGAAAGUGGAAUUCCAAGUGUAGCGGUGAAAUGCGUAGAGAUUUGGAGGAACACCAGUGGCGAAGGCGACUUUCUGGUCUGUAACUGACACUGAGGCGCGAAAGCGUGGGGAGCGAACAGGAUUAGAUACCCUGGUAGUCCACGCCGUAAACGAUGAGUGCUAAGUGUUAGAGGGUUUCCGCCCUU
rnacentral:rRNA from 2 species